rnacentral:rRNA from 1 species
UACGGGGGGGGCAAGCGUUGUUCGGAAUUACUGGGCGUAAAGGGCUCGUAGGCGGCCAACUAAGUCAGACGUGAAAUCCCUCGGCUUAACCGGGGAACUGCAUCUGAUACUGGAUGGCUUGAGUUCGGGAGAGGGAUGCGGAAUUCCAGGUGUAGCGGUGAAAUGCGUAGAUAUCAAGCGGAACACCAGUGGCGAAGGCGAGUCCCUGGACAACUCCUGACACUGAGGCACGAAAGCUAGGGGAGCAAACAGG